CAUAGACAGUUCACACACUCCACUGUCCGCCCGGGAACUACGAGCAUUAGCUUAAAACCCAAAGGACUUGGCGGUGCUUUAUACCCCCCUAGAGGAGCCUGUUCUAGAACCGAUAAUCCCCGUUCAACCUCACCCUUCCUUGUUCUUUCCGCCUAUAUACCGCCGUCGUCAGCCUACCCUGUGAAGGCCUUAUAGUAAGCAAAAUCGGCACAGCCCAAAACGUCAGGUCGAGGUGUAGCGUAUGGAAGGGGAAGAAAUGGGCUACAUUCCCUAUUACAGGGCAUACGAAUGAUUUCGCUGAAACGCAUAUCUGAAGGAGGAUUUAGCAGUAAGCAGGAA
rnacentral:rRNA from 1 species